rnacentral:ribozyme from 1 species
UUUCUCCUUUUUCUCUCUUUUUUUUCUCUCUUUUUUUCCAACAGAAUUUAAAGAUGUAUUCUAAAAAAGAGAAAGCAGG